UACGAAGGGGGCUAGCGUUGCUCGGAAUCACUGGGCGUAAAGGGAGCGUAGGCGGCGCGGUAAGUCAGAUGUGAAAUCCCGGGGCUCAACCCCGGAACUGCAUCCGAUACUGCCGUGCUUAGAGGGUUGGAGAGGUAGCUGGAAUUCUUGGUGUAGCAGUGAAAUGCGUAGAUAUCAAGAGGAACACUCGUGGCGAAAGCGAGCUACUGGACAACACCUGACGCUGAGGCUCGAAGGCCAGGGUAGCGAAAGGG
rnacentral:rRNA from 1 species